rnacentral:ncRNA from 1 species
AUUAAAGCAAUGAGAGGAACUAGUAACAGGAGAUUCAUUCUUUAGAGAGCCGGUGGUUGGUGUGAACCGGUGGAUGAAGCUUGUGAAUCCCUCCUCGAGCAAGGUGCGGAACACCUCCUCAUGAGGUCAGUAAGUACUUUCGGUAGAAACCGUUAACGUUUUUUCGAGGUGGACAGUUUUUUCUGUCAACCAGGGUGGUAUCGCGAGUAACUCUCGUCCCUGUA